AUACUGACACUCAUCAUCCUCAAAAAACUGAAGUGCAGCUUUUCUUGGUGUUCACUGACUGUGGAGAUCCUGAGCGCUGAGUUCCUCCUGCCUGUUCUUCUGUGUCUCCAUUACGGUGAAGCCGUUGCUCCCCAUUUCAGGCACUCCAGGUUCCUACUGUAAAAUGUUGAGGCUCCAACCUGGUCAUCCCUGUUUAAUUAAGUCAAAAUGAAACCAAAAAAGGGCUGCUAUGUAUGGUCCUAGAAGAAAUAACUAAUAUCGAAGCAAGUAAGCCAGUUGUCUUUCAAUUAGACGUUGGGUUUUUGGGAGUUUCACUCUUUGGUUCAGUUGAUUCAAUGCGGACCACCUCACCAGUGGGUUUUAAAGGUAGGAGACUGGAAGGGGAGGAGUCAAUCACCCUCACUGGGAGUUCUCUUGGUGCUGUGGAGGAAAAAAAGGAGAGGAGGAGGUUAGUGUGAGCGCCUCCACUCAGCCAGGGGUGGUAAUACCUUCAUCAGAUGAGCCCAGAUGAUGAUCCACAGACACACAACUGUGACAAAUGACUCAACAUUUCCAAUUCGAUGUUGAGAUAUCUUUUGGUUUUGUACUGUGGUGGUUGCACUGUAAAUGUUUAUAGAUCUUCAUUUUUUUUGUGGCCUUACGUAGCUGACGUUUUAUCAUAAGUGUUUGCUGGUAGCCUAAUAUAUUGUGAAAUUCUGCGCCUCCAUCUCACUCACUCACAUAAGGUUUAGAAGCAGACAUCUCCUUCCUCAGCCAUCCACUAACACCAUGUCUGCUGCCUCUCUGAUCUUCCACAACUCCUUGUAUGCACCUUCAAUGAUCUUUUCUUUGUCUUCUCCACUGCACACUUAUUGCUGCUGCUGGCAGACCUGACAGGCAAUGCCAUCAGCACUCAACUUCCCCAACUCUGUCAGUUGAUCCAAGUUAGGAAGCUUCGUGUUAUCCACAGUGGCUACCUGUCCAUAAGUUCUGCUCUUUAAGAUCUUCAUCGGUGCUUUUUCUCCCACACAUAUACAUCCUCUUCUCAGCCUCCUGGGAUGGGACCACUCCUUCUUCACAGCAUCUUACUCAAGGUCCCUAACGCCUCACCAGAACAUUUAUGUGAAAACCAUCACUGUAAUACUCUAAAGCAGAUCAAAUUUUGAUUUUCACAAAAAUGCUGAUGGUGCUGUAACACUGCGUCAGUGUCUCUAAGACUGAGAAUGUUUUCAUCUUGCUCGUCCUACUAACCUUGUGUCUGUAUCUUUACAGAAAUUUAGAUGUCUGCACUGCUGAUGAAAAAGUGGGGACACCACACAAUCUUCUCACCACUUCAGCCAUCUUUGUCAGCAGGCAGAUUAAUAGAUGAGUAAAGAUUGGAAUAGUAAAAGUGGAUAAUACAAAUAAAAAGAGAGGACACCAGCACAUCUAGAAAAUAUGUAUUUUUAGAAUUGCUGGAAACUUGUGGAAUAUUUUUGUAACUACCUGGAGGUGGUGGGGAAGGGGCUUGGGGUUUUGAGAAGAUGCCCAACGGCAUAAUAUGUAGGAUUACAUGGAGAGUAAAAGUGUCCAUGUGACAGCUGCAGAAAGGGCAGAGGGUAAAAAUCAGACACAAGUAACAAUUCGGGAACAUGUCCUUCAAAAUUAAUUAGCAAACAUAGGGCUGGACACUUGCACAGGACCUGUCCUGGCAGCAGUGCUGUGGAUUAUCCAGUUCACUCAGAUGCCUGAGAGGGAGAAGCUUCCACCUGCAGCAUGGAUAUCCUUCAGCGAGAGCUAAAGAUUUCCAGAGAGAGUCCUGUUGCAAGCUGGACAACAAUGCUGAACCACCCAGGUCAGUAAUUCAUGGCUUGUCUCCUGCAUUUGUUGUUAAACUGUGCCAUCUAGUAGUAAUAUUGGAGACUGCACUGUUAGUUUUUUGGCAGGUUAUAUUCAGCUGCAGAAUUCCCAACUUUAGCCCUGGAGACCCCUGUGGAUGCAAAUUUUUAUUCCAACCAAUUUCACAGUCAAUGGGCCAUUCCUAUUUUCAAUUGAUUUCGCUGUUUAGUGAGUGGGCUUUCUUGUUUUCUUUUUCUAAGAAAUUGUGAACUGUUUAACCCUUUAUUUGCUCCUUGAAUUGCAUCCAUGAAUUCCAUGUCCUAUAUUUUUGCAGGCCACUAACUUUCAGACUUCUUUACAGGGUGCCAUGCCAGGACACUUCACCCCAGAUCACCACAGACAUCGCCUAAGGCGCAGAAACAGCAUUGAUGGCAGUUGGGUUUAUUUCAGGCAGCCCGGAUUGUUUCCUGGUUCAUCAUUUUCCCAGACUUCGGAUGACUCCAUGGAGUGUCCAGCAUUUGAAACUGGACUAACAGAAAACCUGACUGGCAUUGACAAGACGUGACUCUGAGUGUUGAUGGCAUCCUUGAUGCUUUGGCAGUGACAAUCAGCUCCUGGGAGCGAAGACGAAACAAUGGCGUCAAUCUGGGAUGUGUUAAGGAUGAUACUGAGGGUCAGUUGGGAGCACAGAGCUCUAACAUGUGUUCAGCAAGGUGCAAGAAAUCUCAAACUGCAUAAGACAGGAGUCAGACCAUAUGAUAUCCUAGCAUUACUGUCCUGUGAAAAAGUAUUUGCCCCCCUUCUUAAUCUUCUCUGCUCGGAAGGUUCUACUCAAUGAAUAGACCUCAGACUUUUAGACACAAUGCAGUAUCAGAGAAAGGGAGCCUGGGUGAACACUCAAUACAGUUUAUUUGCUUUAUUCAAGGAGCAAAGUUAUCUAACAUCUCUACAACCCUUGUGAAAAAGUAACUGCCCCCUUGUUUGAAUAGUCGUAGCACCUUUAACAGCAAUAACCACAAGUAAACAAUUCCUAUCAUUUGCUCUCAGUCCUUUAUUUGGUUGUUGAGAAGUUUCAGCCCACUUUUCUUUACAGAGUUGUGUUCAUUCUGUCACACUGGCAGGUUUGUGAGUGUCUCUACUCAUUUCAGCAUUUCUAGUGGGUUCAAGUCAGCACUUUGACUCAGCCGCUCCAAAAAGCUGAAUUGUGUUUUUUCUCAGCCAUUCAGUUGUAGACUCGGCUUCCUGUUUUUGGUUUAUUGUCCUGCUGCAUAAGCCGGUGACAUUUCAGCUUCAGGUCACAGAUGACUUGAUAUUCUUCUUAAGAAUAUUCUGGUUAACUGCAGAAUUCCUGGUUCCUUCAGAUCAUCCUCACCCCAUCAUGCUAGCACUCCUGUGUUUUAUUGUAGUUUGGAUAUUCUUACUUUUGAAUGCCAGCCAUAGUAACCCUGCAUCAUCCACAGAGUCCUACCGUUGACUCGUCUGCUGUUGUUCCAAAAGGCUGGGGAUCAUCUGUGUGUUUCUCUGCACUAAUUAAUUCCUGUUAAGCUGAGGUUUCCACUUUGUUCCACUGCCAUGCAUCCCAUUUUUCCUCAUUUCUUCAGUCCAAGACAUUGACCUUAGCUGAGACUACAAAGGUCUGCAGAUCUUUGGAGGUUCUGAGAUCCUCUGUGAUUUUUUGACUGAGGCGUUGCUGUGCCCUUGGGGUCAUUUUGGCCAACUGGUCUUUCUUGGGAAGACUCCCCACUCUUCCAAAUAUUCAGCAUUUAGAGAUAAUGGAGUCCCGGAGCUUUAGAAAUGACUUUGUAAGCUUUUCCUGAUCGAUUAAACUCCAAUCACUUUUCUUCUCUUCUCUUUUGAAAAUCUCCUCUGAUCAAAGCCUAUUGUUCACCUCUAAACCUCAGUGGUGAUGACUUCACUGAUACGGUGAGGUUUGGCCUCAACAGGACUGGCUGUGUUCAGACCACUGAGUCGCAUUACCUCUGAACUUUGGUCAGCUGUCCAGGG